rnacentral:rRNA from 1 species
UAUGUGAUCGUCUCUCGCAUAUCAAUAAGCGGAGGAAAAGAAACUAACAAGGAUUCCCCUAGUAACGGCGAGUGAAGCGGGAAGAGCUCAAAUUUGAAAUCUUAAAGGGUUUCCCUUUACGAAUUGUAGUUUAAAGAAGUGUUUUCUGUUGAGGUUUUGGUAAAAGUUCUUUGGAAUAGGACAUCAUAGAGGGUGAGAAUCCCGUAUUUGACCUUUACUUUCAACUUUGUGAUACACUUUCAAAGAGUCGGAUUGUUUGGGAAUGCAGUCCAAAAUGGGUGGUAAAUUUCAUCUAAAGCUAAAUAUUGGCGAGAGACCGAUAGCGAACAAGUACCGUGAGGGAAAGAUGAAAAGAACUUUGAAAAGAGAGUUAAACAGUACGUGAAAUUGUCAAAAGGGAAGCGUUUGACACCAGUGUUGUUUUUCUGAAAAUCAAUUAAAGAACUGUUUAUGCUAAGUUGUUUAGACUUUAUCAGCUAUACUGUUUAGUUUUGAGCUUUUCUUUAAUGCACUUUUCAGUUAACAAGUCAACAUCAAUUUCUUUUGCUGUAAAAAAGCUUGAGGAAGGUGGCUUGAGAUUCGUCUUAAGUGUUUAUAGCCUCUUGCCUAUGCAGUCGGAGAGAUUGAGGUCUAGCAGCGUAGAUCCUUCGGGGCUAAAUGCAUUUGUGCUAAGUUAUAGCAUUUUAUAAACAACUUGUUGACUAUGAUUUGUCUUGUAGCUUACUCGCUUAUGUUAUUUUACCUACGCUUAGGAUGUUGAUCUACAGAGCGAGAGU